UACAGAGGGGGCAAGCGUUGUUCGGAAUUACUGGGCGUAAAGGGCGCGUAGGCGGCCUUCUAAGUCGAACGUGAAAUCCCUGGGCUCAACCCAGGAACUGCGUCCGAUACUGGGAGGCUUGAAUCCGGGAGAGGGAUGUGGAAUUCCAGGUGUAGCGGUGAAAUGCGUAGAGAUCGUAAGGAAGGCCAGUGGCGAAGGCGAGUUCCUGGACAGUUACUGACGCUGAGGCACGAAGGCCAGGGGAGCAAACGGG
rnacentral:rRNA from 1 species